rnacentral:rRNA from 1 species
GGACGAACGCUGGCGGCGUGCUUACCCCAUGCAAGUCGACCGGAAAGGCCCUGCUUUUGUGGGGUGCUCGAGUGGCGAACGGGUGAGUAACACGUGAGUAACCUGCCCUUGACUUUGGGAUAACUUCAGGAAACUGGGGCUAAUACCGGAUAGGAGCUCCUGCUGCAUGGUGGGGGUUGGAAAGUUUCGGCGGUUGGGGAUGGACUCGCGGCUUAUCAGCUUGUUGGUGGGGUAGUGGCUUACCAAGGCUUUGACGGGUAGCCGGCCUGAGAGGGUGACCGGCCACAUUGGGACUGAGAUACGGCCCAGACUCCUACGGGAGGCAGCAGUGGGGAAUAUUGAACAAUGGGCGGAAGCCUGAUGCAGCAACGCCGCGUGCGGGAUGACGGCCUUCGGGUUGUAAACCUCUUUCGCCUGUGACGAAGCGUGAGUGACGGUAAUGGGUAAAGAAGCACCGGCUAACUACGUG